CCUACGGGUGGCUGCAGUGGGGAAUAUUGGACAAUGGGCGAAAGCCUGAUCCAGCCAUGCCGCGUGUGUGAAGAAGGCCUUCGGGUUGUAAAGCACUUUCAGUGGGGAAGAAAGCCUUGGGGCUAAUACCCUCGAGGAAGGACAUCACCCACAGAAGAAGCACCGGCUAACUCCGUGCCAGCAGCCGCGGUAAUACGGAGGGUGCGAGCGUUAAUCGGAAUUACUGGGCGUAAAGCGCGCGUAGGCGGUCUGAUAAGCCGGUUGUGAAAGCCCCGGGCUCAACCUGGGAACGGCAUCCGGAACUGUCAGGCUAGAGGGCAGGAGAGGAAGGUAGAAUUCCCGGUGUAGCGGUGAAAUGCGUAGAGAUCGGGAGGAAUACCAGUGGCGAAGGCGGCCUUCAGGACUGACACUGACGCUGAGGUGCGAAAGCGUGGGUAGCAAACAGGAUUAGAUACCCUGGGUC
rnacentral:rRNA from 1 species